CAGCAGCCGCGGUAAUACGAAGGGGGCUAGCGUUGCUCGGAAUGACUGGGCGUAAAGGGCGCGUAGGCGGUUUAUACAGUCAGAUGUGAAAUUCCUGGGCUCAACCUGGGGACUGCAUUUGAUACGUAUGGACUUGAGUGGAGAAGAGGGUCGUGGAAUUUCCAGUGUAGAGGUGAAAUUCGUAGAUAUUGGAAAGAACACCGGUGGCGAAGGCGGCGACCUGGUCUUUAACUGACGCUGAGGCGCGAAAGCGUGGGGAGCAAACAGGAUUAGAUACCCGCGUAGUCCCUGUCUCUUAUAA
rnacentral:rRNA from 1 species